UGGGGAAUAUUGGACAAUGGGCGAAAGCCUGAUCCAGCCAUGCCGCGUGUGUGAAGAAGGUCUUCGGAUUGUAAAGCACUUUAAGUUGGGAGGAAGGGCAGUAAGCGAAUACCUUGCUGUUUUGACGUUACCGACAGAAUAAGCACCGGCUAACUCUGUGCCAGCAGCCGCGGUAAUACAGAGGGUGCAAGCGUUAAUCGGAAUUACUGGGCGUAAAGCGCGCGUAGGUGGUUCGUUAAGUUGAAUGUGAAAGCCCCGGGCUCAACCUGGGAACUGCAUCGAAAACUGGCGAGCUAGGGUAGGGCAGAGGGUGGUGGAAUUUCCUGGGUAGCGGUGAAAUGCGUAGAUAUAGGAAGGAACACCAGUGGCGAAGGCGACCACCUGGGCUCAUACUGACACUGAGGUGCGAAAGCGUGGGGAGCAAACAGG
rnacentral:rRNA from 1 species